CAGUGACCGGGAUGUGAUGAGCGAUGGGAAGAGGAAGUUGGAGGUGUCGGCAGGGGCCAGGCCGGGCCGCGCCCACCAGUCCACGAGCGUGGGGUACGUUCUCCUGCUGGUCGCGGGCAGCCAUGGACUGUUUGACACAGUGAUCAUCGGAGACAGGAAGAUCGAAAGCGCAUGAGAUACCGCUCCACAGAAAGUAACAAGUGCUGGUGAGGAUGUGGAGAAAUUGGAACCUUGGGCACCAUUUGUGGGGACGUAAAAUGGUGCAGCCCCUGUGGAAGAACAGGAUGGCGUUUCUUCAAAAAAUUAAAAAUAGAAUUACCAUAUGAUCCAGCAUUUCCACGUCUGGGCAUAUACCCAAAAGAAUCGCAAGCAGGGUCUCAAACAGAUACAUGUACACCCAUGUUCCCUGCGGUGUUAUUCACGAUAGCCCAAAGGCAGAAACGACACAAGUGUACCCAUCGACGCAGCACGUGGUCUGUGCGUACAAUGGAAUAUCAUUCAGCCUUAAAAAGGAAGGCAGUUUGGACACAGGCUUCGCGGUGGAUGAGCCUGGAGGACGUGGUGCGAAGGGAAAUAAACCAGGCACCAAAGGACGAAUACUGUAGGAUUCCACUCACACCGGGGACUUGGGAGGGGCAAAUUCAUAGAGACAGAAAGGAGAAUGGUGGGUGCCAAUGGCCGAGGGGAGGGGAAAUGGGGAGUCUGUGUUUAACGGGUACGGAGUUUAGCAAGAUAACAAGAGUUCUGGGGAUGGAUGGUGGUGAUGGGGGCACACGGUGCUGGAUGGACUUAAUACUCCCAGACUGCACACUUAAAAAUGGCUAAGAUCGAAAAUUAAACAAAACAAAACAAAACAAAAA